GACGAACGCUGGCGGCGUGCUUAACACAUGCAAGUCGAACGAAGUGGCGAACGGGUGAGUAACGCGUAAUCAACCUGCCCUUCAGAGGGGGCUAACAGUUGGAAACGACUGCUAAUACCGUAUACUGAAGGAGGGGAUUGCGUCUGAUUAGCGAGUUGGAGGGGUAACUGCCCCGCAAGGCGCUUGUCCGUAGCGGGUCUGAUGGGAUGAACGGCCACAUUGUGACUGAGACACGGCCCAGACUCCUACGGGAGGAAGCAGUGGGGAAUAUUGCACAAUGGGCGCAAGCCUGAUGCAGCCAUGCCGCGUGUAUGAAGAAGGCCCUAGGGUUGUAAAGUACUUUCAGUCGGGAGCGGUACCGAAAGAAGAAGCACCGGCUAACUCCGUGCCAGCAGCCGCGGUAAUAG
rnacentral:rRNA from 1 species